UACGUAGGCAGCGAGCGUUGUUCGGAGUUACUGGGCGUAAAGAGUGCGUAGGCGGUUUUCUAAGUUUGGUGUGGAAUCUCCCGGCUCAACUGGGAGGGUGCGCCGAAGACUGGAAGGCUUGAGUAUGGGAGAGGUAAGCGGAAUUCCUGGUGUAGCGGUGAAAUGCUUAGAUAUCGUCAAGAACACCGAUAGUGUAGACAGCUUACUAAGCUUUAACUGACGCUGAGGCACGAAAGUGUGGGGAUCAAACAGG
rnacentral:rRNA from 1 species